AGGAAAGGUGAGGGGACCAGCGGCCUCAGCCAAAGGAAGGUGAGGGGACCAGGCGGCCUCAGCCAAAGGAAAGGGGGAGGGGACCAGGAGGCCUCAGCCAAAGGAAAGGUGAGGGGACCAGGCGGCCUCAGCCAAAGGAAAGGUGAGGGGACCAGGCGGCCUCAGCCAAAGGAAAGGUGAGGGGGACCAGGCGGCCUCAGCCAAAGGGAAAAGGUGAAGGGGAACCAGGCGGCCUCAGCCA